rnacentral:rRNA from 1 species
GACGAACGCUGGCGGCGUGCCUAAUACAUGCAAGUUGAGCGAUGAAGAUUGGUGCUUGCCCCAAUUUGGAGAGCAGCGCACGGGUGAGUAACGCGUGGAGAAUCUGCCUUUGAGCGGGGGACAACAUGUGGAAACGAAUGCCAAUACCGCAUAACAACGUUAAACAUAAGUUGUAAGUUUGAAAGAUGCAAUUGCAUCACGCAAAGAUGAUCCCGCGUUGUAUUAGCUAGUUGGUGAGGUAAAGGCGCACCAAGGCGAUGAUACAUAGCCGACCUGAGAGGGUGGUCCGCCACCACUGGACUGAGACCCGGCCCAAGCUCCUUACGGAGGGAGCAGGAGGGGAUCUUUGGCAAUGGACGAAAGUCCUGCCGAACCACGCCGGGGGAGGUAAGAAGGGUCUUGGAGUGUAAAAGUCCGUUGGUAGAGAAGGAAGUUGGUGAGACUAGAACGGUCAUGAAGUGACGGUACCUGACCAGAAAGCGCCGGCUAACUACGUG